UACCAGCUCUCCGAGUGGUAGGGAUGAUUAUUGGGCUUAAAGCGUCCGUAGCCAGCUUAGCAAGUCUCCUGUUAAAUUCAGCGACCUAAUCGUUGAGCCGCGGGAGACACUACUAGGCUAGGAGGCGGGAGAGGCCGACGGUAUUCUCGGGGUAGGGGUGAAAUCCUAUAAUCCCAGGAGGACCACCAGUGGCGAAGGCUGUCGGCUAGAACGCGCUCGACGGUGAGGGACGAAAGCUGGGGGAGCGAACCGGAUUAGAUACCCGGGUAGUCCCAGCUGUAAACGAUGCGGGCUAGGUGUUGGGGUGGCUACGAGCCACUUCAGUGCCGCAGGGAAGCCAUUAAGCCCGCGCCUGGGGAGUACGGCCGCAAGGCUGAAACUUAAGGAAUUGGCGGGGGAGCACCACAAGGCGUGAAGCUUGCGGUUC
rnacentral:rRNA from 1 species